GGCGGCAGGCCUAACACAUGCAAGUCGGGCGGUAACAGGGAGUGCUUGCACUUCGCUGACGAGCGGCGGACGGGUGAGUAAUGCAUAGGAAUCUGCCUGGUAGUGGGGGAUAGCCCAGAGAAAUUUGGAUUAAUACCGCAUACGCCCUACGGGGGAAAGCAGGGGGGAUCUUCGGACCUUGCGCUAUCAGAUGAGCCUAUGUCGGAUUAGCUUGUUGGUGAGGUAACGGCUCACCAAGGCGACGAUCCGUAGCUGGUCUGAGAGGAUGAUCAGCCACACUGGGACUGAGACACGGCCCAGACUCCUACGGGAGGCAGCAGUGGGGAAUAUUGGACAAUGGGCGCAAGCCUGAUCCAGCCAUGCCGCGUGUGUGAAGAAGGCCUUCGGGUUGUAAAGCACUUUCAGCGAGGAGGAAAGGAUGGUUGCUAAUAUCAGCCGUCUGUGACGUUACUCGCAGAAGAAACACCGGCUAACUCCGUG
rnacentral:rRNA from 1 species